UCUCUCUGAAUCUGCGAACGGCUCCGCAAACCAGUUGUAAACUAUAGCAAGCAAGCACGGGGUUUUGGCUUUCACGAGUCGAGACCUCGGGCGAUAUGGAUAACCCUGGUAAUUCUGAGGCUAAUACAAGAACGUAAUCCCUGGUCGACUGGCGUAAGCUGGAACGCCGGGGGGCGUGUGACGGGUAUCGAAGGGAAAUCCGGGAGUGGGUGCACGCUUGGACCGCGCAAAACAAGGAUUAGGUGGGCGCCUCCGCAAGGGGGUAGAAGCCUAGCCCUAGCGGCUCUUGCGGUGUGCUUCUGACCUAUCAACUAGACGGCAGCGUAAGGGACAUGCUAUGGUUACAACGGGUACAGAGGAUUAGGGUUCGAUCCUGGAGAGUGGGCCUGAGAGAUU
rnacentral:rRNA from 1 species